rnacentral:sRNA from 1 species
UAUUCUGCCCCAGCGGGAAGGAUGAGAAGCUUCGACUAAGGUUCGAUUCGAGCGUUAGCGAGAAAGCGUUGCCGCAGGCAACGACCCUAAGGGCGAGGCGCACCGCGCUGAGUAAUCCUUCCCCCACCACCA